rnacentral:rRNA from 1 species
AGCGAAGUUCCUUGUCGCUUAAUUGGCGACCCGCACGAAAGGUUUAACAAGCCUCAUACUGUCUUGAACUAUUACUCGGCGAAAUUGAAAUGGCUGUGAAGAUGCGGCCUACUGACAGCAGGACAAAAAGACCCCGUAGAGCUUUACUACAACUUGGCACUGACGGUGAAUAUAGGAUUGUUUAGAAUAGGCGGGAGGAAACUUCAUUUAUGACGUUUCCGACCAGUGAAAUACCGCCCGUUUUGUAUUUAUCAUCUAACUUAAUCACACUGCAAACGUGUGAAAGAACACUGUCUGGUGGGUAGUUUAACUGGGGAGGUUGCUUGCUAAAGAGUAACGCAAGCGCGCAAUGGUAUUCUUAGCCUGGAUAGAAAUCAGGCUGGACGUGCAAUAGCAUAAGAAUGCUUUACUGUGAGGCAUACAAGCCGAGCAGUUGCGAAAGCAGGUUAUAGUGAUCCUCGUGUGUUUUGUGGAAGACACCGGGCUUAUCGGAUAAAAGU